rnacentral:rRNA from 1 species
GGAGAAGUGCAUCGGAAACUGGGAAACUUGAGUGCAGAAGAGGACAGUGGAACUCCAUGUGUAGCGGUGGAAUGCGUAGAUAUAUGGAAGAACACCAGCGGCGAAGGCGGCUGUCUAGUCUGUAACUGACGCUGAGGCUCGAAAGCAUGGGUAGCGAACAGGAUUAGAUACCCUGGUAGUCCAUGCCGUAAACGAUGAGUGCUAGGUGUUGGAGGGUUUCCGCCCUUCAGUGCCGCAGCUAACGCAUUAAGCAUUCCGCCUGGGGAGUACGACCGCAAGGUUGAAACUCAAAGGAAUUGACGGGGGCCCGCACAAGCGGUGGAGCAUGUGGUUUAAUUCGAAGCUACGCGAAGAACCUUACCAGGUCUUGACAUACUAUGCAAAUCUUAGAGAUAAGACGUUCCCUUCGGGGACAUGGAUACAGGUGGUGCAUGGUUGUCGUCAGCUCGUGUCGUGAGAUGUUGGGUUAAGUCCCGCAACGAGCGCAACCCUUAUUAUCAGUUGCCAGCAUUAAGUUGGGCACUCUGGUGAGACUGCCGGUGACAAACCGGAGGAAGGUGGGGAUGACGUCAAAUCAUCAUGCCCCUUAUGACCUGGGCUACACACGUGCUACAAUGGACGGUACAACGAGUCGCGAAGUCGUGAGGCUAAGCUAAUCUCUUAAAGCCGUUCUCAGUUCGGAUUGUAGGCUGCAACUCGCCUACAUGAAGUUGGAAUCGCUAGUAAUCGCGGAUCAGCAUGCCGCGGUGAAUACGUUCCCGGGCCUUGUACACACCGCCCAUCACACCAUGAGAGUUUGUAACACCCAAAGCCGGUGAGAUAACC